AUGACGCUGAGAAACGUACAACUAGAAUAUUUGUUGGUGUCUUCGUCACUUUAAUUUCGUCAAGAAAUCUUUAAAGUACGACCAAGUGUCAAGGAUUUUGUAUGCCUUCAGGCUUUGCUUUGUGUGUUUCUCCGGUGCCGAAAACAUGUGCAUAUAACUUAGUUUCAAAGCUUUAAUUGUCAUUUCUGUACUUCAUCAUAGGAAAGAAAUAUACAUUUCCGCGGCUUCCGGCGCACAUUACAAAUAAAUUGAGGAAAACACAAGUUAAAAGACUGUAAUUGAAAGUAAUAUAAUAAAAAUAUAAAUAAAACCACUGUAAAAGGACGUAUCCGUCACUACUUUAAUAUUUUUAAAACACUUCAAAAUGGCAAUAUUACUGUUUAUAAUUUACUUAAAUACUGAGUUGUAAAUGGUGCUAAUAGAUCCUUAGGCAUCUUCGAGUCACCGCGGUUAAGUUAGCUUCAUAUUCGAUAUUCAGUUUUCUGGCUUUAAUAACUUUUAACGGAAGGCGGGGUGUUUUUAAUGACAGAAUUGUGAUGUCCAGUACACAUACAACGAUGCACACCGAUCAUUUUUGCGCUUCGAACCAUUUAGUGACUUGUGCAAAAUCGUGUUAAUAGCUAAUAUUAUAGGUCCUGUCAGCUGUAAUGACAUGGUGGUUUCGCAUUUUGGGUUGCACAUCCCUUUGUUUCCCAGAUUGCAUUAGGUACUGUUGGAGUUCGACUCUACCGAGUCCGUUGAUGAGGAAAGAGAUGCACACUGGAGGCGAAGGAUGGUUGUGUCAACAUAUCUGAACCAGUGGGUUGGUGUCUUCCCUGGGAAAGAGUUGAGUGCUUUUUCUUCCAUGUACAACUCGACUACAAUGGAUGACACUGGGGACCCUAUGGCACAGCCAUGUCUCCGUCUGUAAAAAUCACCUCUGUAAGAGAAAUAAGUGGUGUCCAAGCAAAGAUCCAAGAGUAAGCAGAUUUGGUCUAGGUUAAGGUUAUUAUAGUGAAAUGGGAUGUGACGUCAAAGGCCCUUAAACCCCAGCACCCUGGGUGCCCCAACAGAUGGCUGCCCUUCAUGGACAGUUUACUCUACAAAAGAGCAAGUUGAGGGAGGUGUAAAGACAAUUUCCCCACGGGGAUCAAUAAAGUAUCAAUUAUUAAGU